GCGCUUGUAGCUCAGCUUGGAAUAAGAGCGACAGCCUCCUAAGCUGUAGGUCGCGGGUUCAAAUCCCGUCAGGCGCG
rnacentral:tRNA from 1 species